UUUCCGUAGGUGAACCUGCGGAAGGAUCAUUAAAGAACGCCCCGUUUUUUAAAAUGGGUAAUUCUAAACCGUGUAUACAUACCUUUGUUGCUUUGGCAGGCCGCCCCUCAGGGCGUCGGCUCCGGCUGACUGCGCCUGCCAGAGGACCCAAACUCUUUUGUUUAGUGAUGUCUGAGUACUAUAUAAUAGUUAAAACUUUCAACAACGGAUCUCUUGGUUCUG
rnacentral:misc_RNA from 1 species